rnacentral:rRNA from 1 species
GACGGCAGCACGGGAGCAAUCCUGGUGGCGAGUGGCGAACGGGUGAGUAAUGUAUCGGAACGUACCUUUCAGUGGGGGAUAACGUAGCGAAAGUUACGCUAAUACCGCAUAUUCUGUGAGCAGGAAAGCAGGGGAUCGCAAGACCUUGCGCUGAUUGAGCGGCCGAUAUCAGAUUAGCUAGUUGGUGAGGUAAAGGCUCACCAAGGCGACGAUCUGUAGCGGGUCUGAGAGGAUGAUCCGCCACACUGGAACUGAGACACGGUCCAGACUCCUACGGGAGGCAGCAGUGGGGAAUUUUGGACAAUGGGGGCAACCCUGAUCCAGCCAUGCCGCGUGAGUGAAGAAGGCCUUCGGGUUGUAAAGCUCUUUCAGCCGGGAAGAAAUCACAUGGGUUAAUACCCUGUGUGGAUGACGGUACCGGAAUAAGAAGCACCGGCUAACUACGUGCCAGCAGCCGCGGUAAUACGUAGGGUGCGAGCGUUAAUCGGAAUUACUGGGCGUAAAGCGUGCGCAGGCGGUUUGUUAAGAUAGGCGUGAAAUCCCCAGGCUCAACCUGGGAACUGCGUUUAUGACUGGCAGGCUAGAGUAUGGCAGAGGGGGGUGGAAUUCCACGUGUAGCAGUGAAAUGCGUAGAGAUGUGGAGGAACACCGAUGGCGAAGGCAGCCCCCUGGGCCAAUACUGACGCUCAUGCACGAAAGC